UAACCCAGUUGGUAGAGUGCUUGCCUAGCAUGCAUGAGGGCCUGGGUUCAAAUCCCAG
rnacentral:tRNA from 1 species